UACAGAGGUCCCAAGCGUUGUUCGGAUUCACUGGGCGUAAAGGGUGCGUAGGCGGUCGGGUAAGUCUGAUGUGAAAUCUCACAGCUUAACUGUGAAACUGCAUUGGAUACUAUUCGGCUUGAGAGUUGGAGGGGGGACUGGAAUUCUUGGUGUAGCAGUGAAAUGCGUAGAUAUCAAGAGGAACACCAGUGGCGAAGGCGAGUCCCUGGACAACUUCUGACGCUGAUGCACGAAAGCUAGGGGAGCAAACAGG
rnacentral:rRNA from 1 species